CUCGUAGGUGGUUUGGUAAGUCGGAUGUGAAAUCUCCAGGCUCAACCUGGAGGGGUCAUUCGAUACUGCCAUGACUAGAGGUCGGUAGGGGAGUGUGGAAUUCCUGGUGGAGCGGUGAAAUGCGCAGAUAUCAGGAGGAACACCCGUAGCGAAGGCGGCACUCUGGGCCGAUUCUGACACUGAGGAGCGAAAGCGUGGGGAGCGAACA
rnacentral:rRNA from 1 species